rnacentral:rRNA from 1 species
AGAGUUUGAUCAUGGCUCAGAACGAACGCUGGCGGCGUGGAUUAGGCAUGCAAGUCGAACGCGAAAGGGCUGCUUCGGUGGCCUGAGUAGAGUGGCAAACGGGUGAGUAACGCGUAGGUAAUCUGCCUUCAAGCGGGGGAUAGCCCAGGGAAACCUGGAUUAAUACCGCAUGUGUCCAGCACCUAUUUCAUACUUUGGAGUAAGUGGAGAUCAAGUAUUUUUCGAGGUAUGAAACAGGUGCUGGGUAAAGUUGGCCUCUGUUUCAAGCUGACGCUUGGAGAUGAGCCUGCGUCCUAUUAGCUAGUUGGUGGGGUAACGGCCUACCAAGGCGAUGAUAGGUAGGCGGCCUUAACGGGUGGUCGCCCACACUGGGAUUGAGAUACGGCCCAGACUCCUACGGGAGGCAGCAGUCGAGAAUAGUCUACAAUGGGGGAAACCCUGAUAGUGCGACGCCGCGUGCGCGAAGAAGCCCUUCGGGGUGUAAAGCGCUUUUCUGUGCGAGCAGUGCCAUCAUGGCGAACAGCUAUGGUGGAGGGAUAUUAACACAGGAAUAAGCCACGGCUAACUCCGUGCCAGCAGCCGCGGUAAUACGGGGGUGGCGAGCGUUGUCCGGAAUCACUAGGCGUAAAGGGCAAGUAGGCGGAAUGGUAAGUGAGGUGUCAAAUGCGUCGGCUCAACCGGCGUUGUGCAUUUCAUACUGUCAUUCUAGAGUAGGGUAGAGGAAGACGGAAUUCCUGGUGUAGCGGUGGAAUGCGCAGAUAUCAGGAAGAACACCGGUGGCGAAGGCGGUCUUCUGGGCCACUACUGACGCUAAAUUGCGAAGGUGUGGGUAUCGAACAGGAUUAGAUACCCUAGUAGUCC